rnacentral:rRNA from 1 species
GUCUAUGGCCAUGCCACCCUCAACACACCUGAUUUUUGUCUGAUCUCGGAAGCUAAGCAGGGUCGGGCCUGGUUAGUACUUGGAUGGGAGACCACCUUAGGAAGACCAGGUGCUGUAGGUG